UAGGGAAUCUUCCACAAUGGGCGCAAGCCUGAUGGAGCAACACCGCGUGAGUGAAGAAGGGUUUCGGCUCGUAAAGCUCUGUUGUUAAGGAAGAACGAGUGUGAGAAUGGAAAGUUCAUACUGUGACGGUACUUAACCAGAAAGGGACGGCUAACUACGUGCCAGCAGCCGCGGUAAUACGUAGGUCCCGAGCGUUGUCCGGAUUUAUUGGGCGUAAAGCGAGCGCAGGCGGUUAGAAAAGUCUGAAGUGAAAGGCAGUGGCUCAACCAUUGUAGGCUUUGGAAACUGUUUAACUUGAGUGCAGAAGGGGAGAGUGGAAUUCCAUGUGUAGCGGUGAAAUGCGUAGAUAUAUGGAGGAACACCGGUGGCGAAAGCGGCUCUCUGGUCUGUAACUGACGCUGAGGCUCGAAAGCGUGGGGAGCGAACAGGAUUAGAUACCCUGGUAGUCCACGCCGUAAACGAUGAGUGCUAGGUGUUAGGUCCUUUCCGGGACUUAGUGCCGCAGCUAACGCAUUAAGCACUCCGCCUGGGGAGUACGACCGCAAGGUUG
rnacentral:rRNA from 1 species